AAACUACCUUCUCCGUUCGAAAAUGCUUGUCAUCGAAAUGGACAAAAAGGGAUGUAUCUAGAACUAAAAUACAUCUAGAUACAUCCCCUUUUAUUCAUUUUGAUGACAAGUAUUUCCGGAUGGAGGGAUUACCUA
rfam:Triticum aestivum genome assembly, contig: Triticum_aestivum_CS42_TGACv1_scaffold_002152_1AL